rnacentral:rRNA from 1 species
CCUACGGGAGGCAGCAGUAAGGAAUAUUGGUCAAUGGAGGCAACUCUGAACCAGCCAUGCCGCGUGCAGGAAGAAGGCGCUACGCGUUGUAAACUGCUUUUGUACGGGAGAAAACCCAUCUAUGUAUAGAUGGCUGAUAGUACCGUAAGAAUAAGCAUCGGCUAACUUCGUGCCAGCAGCCGCGGUAAGACGAAGGAUGCAAGCGUUAUCCGGAUUUAUUGGGUUUAAAGGGUGCGUAGGCGGUCUUAUAAGUCAGUGGUGAAAGCUCUCAGCUUAACUGAGAAACUGCCAUUGAUACUGCAAGACUUGAGUACAGAUGAUGUUGGCGGAAUAUGACAUGUAGCGGUGAAAUGCAUAGAUAUGUCAUAGAACACCGAUUGCGAAGGCAGCUGACAAAACUGUAAACUGACGCUGAGCGACGAAGUAGCGGGAGUACAACAGAGUAGUAUACCUACGUAGUCGCACCGUAACCUAAUAGUAUACUCGUCUGUGUGNGAGUAUAC